GGGGAAAGGAUGGUGUUUUGGUUGGAGAUUACGAGUAUGACAGACAAAUGCAGUUCUCAAGUGAGAAAAAGUAUGCUUUCUGAAACACCGGUGUCCAACACACCACGGCUUUGAAGAAAACAGCAGCUCAAGCACAGAAAGAGAAUAAAGAAGAAGAAAUUUCUGAUAGAAGAAAUCUAGAAUUAAAAAAAUCACGGCUCCAUCCUGGAUUCUAGCUGGAGCUUCUGUUCACCCCAGCCUUGAAGGGGAACUCAAGUACAGAGGGUCAAAGAGAUCUGCAGCAUUUUUAGAGACUGGGACCUAAAUGCUCCUGAAGAGGGACCAGCCUGAAAAUUGAAUAAUCUUUUGCUAACAGAUGGUCUUUCAUGUGACAGAUGAAACAUAUGGAUAAAGGAAGAUGGAGAAGUUUAAAAAGCUGCUGCCUCUCAAAUUAUUUCUGAGGUACAUAGAACAUUUCACUUUACAUUGCUCUCAAAAGUAUUCAAAUGCUAAUGGAAAUAAUAAAUAAAUAAAUAAAUAAAUAAAUAAAUA